rnacentral:rRNA from 1 species
UACGUAGGCAGCAAGCGUUGUUCGGAGUUACUGGGCGUAAAGAGUGCGUAGGUGGUGCCCUAAGUCUGUUGUGAAAUCUCCCGGCUUAACUGGGAGGGUGCGGUGGAAACUGGGGUGCUUGAGUGUGGGAGAGGUAAGCGGAAUUCCUGGUGUAGCGGUGAAAUGCGUAGAUAUCAGGAGGAACACCGGUGGCGAAGGCGGGUCUCUGGGCAGUAACUGACGCUGAGGAACGAAAGCGUGGGUAGCAAACAGG